UACGUAGGUGGCAAGCGUUGUCCGGAUUUACUGGGCGUAAAGAGCGCGCAGGCGGUCGAUUAAGUCGAAUGUGAAAGCCCCCGGCUCAACUGGGGAGGGUCAUUCGAUACUGAUCGACUUGAAGGCAGGAGAGAGAAGUGGAAUUCCCGGUGUAGUGGUGAAAUGCGUAGAUAUCGGGAGGAACACCAGUGGCGAAGGCGACUCUCUGGGACGGUACUGACGCUGAGACGCGAAAGCGUGGGGAGCGAACAGG
rnacentral:rRNA from 1 species